rnacentral:lncRNA from 1 species
CAGGAAGUGACAUCAUCAGAGAUGUUAUGACAGAAUGUCUCUAGAAUAGUCAGUAGAAUCUCUGAAAGGAUGUCUGCCAGUGCACAGCAUUAUGACAUCAUUGACUUAAAUAAGGAGGCUCAUUCUAGUACUCAUUCUUGAUCUGUGGUUACAGAAUAUUGGCACCAUGUUAAAUCUCCCUCUCACCUCUCUGACAGUAUCUGAACAAAGGUUUGUUAGUUCAUGUGGUUUAAUGCAGGUGUUUUGAUACAGUACCAGAUGGGUCUGAUAGGUAGAGGUUUUUGUAGAGUAGACUGGGCCUCUGUAACACUGUGCAUAACUAGCAGCACAGAAAUACUCCCCGCUGUCUUCAGCUUGUCUCAGUUUGAGGAGAUGAAGGAAGGCUUCGUUCCUUCCAUCACCUUUCACGUCAAAGUAACCUUUAUAUGACGGUUCAACAGUCUGACUUGUAAUGUAUACAUAUGCUAUGAGUUUCAGAGCUGUGUCUCCCACAGGACGCUGGUACCAGAGGAUAGUGUUAUAGCUAGGGAUUUUAUGACUGCAGCUGAGUGGGACAGAGACAGACGCAUUAGGCUCUACCAGCAGUGUAGAGGGAGACUGGUACACUACUUUACUGAGAGAGACACCUGGGGAGAGAGACAGAGACAGACGCAUUAGGCUCUACCAGCAGUGUAGAGGGAGACUGGUACACUACUUUACUGAGAGAGACACCUGGGGAGAGAGACAGAGACAGAGAGAGAGAGAGAGCGAGACAGCGAGAAAGAGAGACAGCGAGAGAGGAGAGAGAGACAGUGAAAGAGGAGAGAGAGGAGAGAGAGACAGGGAGAGAGACAGAGAAUGAGAGCGAGAGAAAGACAGCGACAAAGAGACAGCGAGAGAGAUGAUAGAGAGAGACAGCGAGAAAGAGAGACAGCGAGAGAGAGGAGAGAGAGUGAGGAGAGAGAAAAAUCGGGAAGUUUCGACUCCUAUUCGUUCAUUCAUACAGAAUGGCAGGCAGGCUCAGGGCAGGCAGAAUGAUCAAAACCGGAAAACAGGGGCUCAAGAAAACAGGAGUACGAAAAACAAGCUGGUAGGCUUGACGAGACAAGAUGAACUGGCAACAGACAAACAGAG